rnacentral:rRNA from 2 species
ACCCGCUGAACUUAAGCAUAUCAAUAAGCGGAGGAAAAGAAACCAACAGGGAUUGCCCUAGUAACGGCGAGUGAAGCGGCAACAGCUCAAAUUUGAAAGCUGGCUUCGGCCCGCGUUGUAAUUUGGAGAGGAUGCUUUGGGCGAGGCUCCUUCUGAGUUCCCUGGAACGGGACGCCACAGAGGGUGAGAGCCCCGUAUAGUUGGAAGCCAAGCCUGUGUAAAGCUCCUUCGACGAGUCGAGUAGUUUGGGAAUGCUGCUCAAAAUGGGAGGUAAAUUUCUUCUAAAGCUAAAUACCGGCCAGAGACCGAUAGCGCACAAGUAGAGUGAUCGAAAGAUGAAAAGCACUUUGAAAAGAGGGUUAAAUAGCACGUGAAAUUGUUGAAAGGGAAGCGCUUGUGACCAGACUUGCGCCCGGCGGAUCAUCCGGUGUUCUCACCGGUGCACUCCGCCGGGCUCAGGCCAGCAUCGGUUCUGGCGGGGGGAUAAAGGCCCACGAAUGUGGCUCCCUCCGGGAGUGUUAUACCCUGGGUGUAUACCCCUCGGCGGGACCGAGGACCCGCGCUCUGCCAAGGAUGCUGGCGUAAUGGUCACCAGCGACCCGUCUUGAAACACGGACCAAGGAGUCAAGGUUUUGCGCGAGUGUUUGGGUGUAAAACCCGCACGCGUAAUGAAAGUGAACGUAGGUGAGAGCUUCGGCGCAUCAUCGACCGAUCCUGAUGUAUUCGGAUGGAUUUGAGUAGGAGCGUUAAGCCUUGGACCCGAAAGAUGGUGAACUAUGCUUGGAUAGGGUGAAGCCAGAGGAAACUCUGGUGGAGGCUCGCAGCGGUUCUGACGUGCAAAUCGAUCGUCAAAUCUGAGCAUGGGGGCGAAAGACUAAUCGAACCAUUUAGUAGCUGGUUACCGCCGAAGUUUCCCUCAGGA